AUAGCGAGACAACCAAGUAAAAAUUUUAACGUCCUUUAAAAACUUCAAUUUUCUUUUUAAAAUUAAAAAUUCCUCUUGAUUAAGACUAUAUAUGAAAACAUAACACUAGCAUUGGGGUCUAGCCGAGAUUGUAAUAAAAAUUUUAACGUUUCACUUAGGCAACCUUUACAUGUCUAAUUAUAUCAAAAUAUUUCAAUGACUUAGAAAAAUGAAAAAAAGUCAGUAUUCAACAAAUUCAUUAUGUAUUAACUGUCUUGUUUACUGUCGUUCCCUCAAAUUUUCUACCGCACAAAAACAUGUUCUUAAACAAAUGCUAAAUUUCAAGCGUUUUUUGCAGUUUCGUUAUUUUAAAAUCUUUUAAUGAAGAGUAUAUGCCACUAGCCUUAAUUUGAAAAUAAUAUGCACAAAUGGACCUAUUGCUAAAAAAAUGUUUUACGAAAAUAGUAAUAUUUUUUUUUGUUGCCUCAGCAAGCGAUCCAUAAUACCGAUUUCAAAUUGGGUUAGAAAUCAUUCUAGAUAUUUAACACGAAUUUUUUUAAGUACAGUCCUCAUA